rnacentral:lncRNA from 1 species
CGCUGACUCUCUUUUCGGACUCAGCCCGCCUGCACCCAGGUGAUUAAAAGCUUUAUUGCUCACACAAAGCCUGUUUGGUGGUCUCUUCACACGGACGCGCAUGAAAGAAAUUACUUUUUUUCAAGAAUGAGUUCAUGUCCUUUGCAGGGACAUGGAUGAAGCUGGAAGGCACCAUUCUCAGCAAACUAACACAGGAACAGAAAACCAAACACCGCAUGUUUUCACUCAUAAAGGUGUCCGCAUUUGGUACAACGUUCGUCAAAGAGGAUGAGGUUACCGGGAUUGUCACUGAUGUGUUUAAAUGACUGCGCCAGCCUCCAGAGAAUAAGAUCUGUAUUCAUUGAUUCAUUUAACCAAUAUUCAGGUGACUACCACAUGCAAUACCACGAAUACAUGAAGCCGGGCACAGUGGCUCACACCUGUAAUCCCAGCACUUUGGAAGGCCGAGGCGGGCAGAUCACCUGAGGUCAGGAGUUCAAGACCAGCCUGGGCAACAUGGAGAAACCCCGUCUCUACUAAAAAUACAAAAAUUAGCUGGGUGUGAUGGCACGAGCCUGUAAUCCCAGCUACCUGGGAGGCUGAGGCAUGAAAAUCUCUUGAACCUGGGAGGGGAGAUCGCGCCACUGCCCUCCAACUUGGGUGACAGAGUGAGGCUCCAUCUCAAAAAAAAGAGUACAUGAAAAGUUCCCAAAUCAUAAAUCAAAAAAAAUUGUUUGAAAGUUUAUUUACAACCAACAUCUCAUUUCCCCGUAAGUCUCCAUUUCUUCUCAUAUGCACUGCAGAUAACAAAACCGGUUAGAGAAAACAUCCUGAAUGCCACUGUGAACACUCUUAUUGACUUCUCUCAGAUUUUCUCAUUGUUACAUAAAGGGAUGUAUUGUUACAUGAAGUUCUUUCAGCCUUCGUUAAAACUCUCUAGAAGCAUUCUGUAUUAGGACUACAAUCAGCAGUCAUGGUUUGUAUGCUUCAUAAUCAUUUCACUGGGUUUACUUUUCAAUAUCCCUAGGGUAUUAAUCUUUUGAAAACUCACUUGCAGUGGAGAUGAUUCCAUUGUAAAAUGUUUCUUCAUUCCCAAUAGCACAAUAUAGUAAGUAGUAGGUCUAUUUUCAUGCUGUAUCAACUAAUUUGCAAUCAUAGCAGAUCUUAAGAUUUCU